rnacentral:lncRNA from 1 species
CUAUGGCUUCCCUUCCGUUUUCGCGUGGUUCUUUUGCAAGAUGUUGGGAGCCAUUGAGCUGAAUCUCAUUAACGUUCUCAUAUUUGGCCGGGUGUGGUGGCUCACGCCUGUAAUCGCACCAUUUUAGGAGGCCAAGGCGGACGGAUCACUUGAGCUCUGGAUUCUCUGGAGUUUGAAUGUUUCCAGUAUUGGAACCCCACCAAGUAGGACUGAUCAGGUCUUACAAUUCUAAAACCAUGACCUGUAACUGGGGAAGACCUUUGAAGUUCUGUCCAACAAAGUAUAUGAAGUUUCAGGAAUUAGUGACAUUCAGGGAUGUGGCCAUAGACUUCUCUCGGCAGGAGUGGGAAUACCUGGACCCUAAUCAGAGGGACUUAUACAGGGAUGUGAUGUUGGAGAACUAUAGAAACCUGGUAUCACUGGGAGGACAUUCCAUUUCUAAACCAGUUGUGGUUGAUUUACUGGAGCGAGGAAAAGAGCCC